GGAUUUGCUCAUUGGUCAGGCUUAACUGUCUGUACUGGUGUAACGAAUUCCUACUUUCUGAUGAAUCUUCAUGCCAUUUACUUGGUGCGGAGGGGAAUCAGGACUGUUACUUUGAAAAAUUAGAGUGUUUAAAGCAGGCUAUUGCUCGUAUACAUUAGCAUGGAAUAAUAGAAUAGGACGGUUGGUUCUAUUUUGUUGGUUUCUAGGAUCACCGUAAUGA
rnacentral:rRNA from 1 species